CCUACGGGAGGCAGCAGUAAGGAAUAUUGGUCAAUGGACGCAAGUCUGAACCAGCCAUGCCGCGUGAAGGAUUAAGGUCCUCUGGAUUGUAAACUUCUUUUAUUUGGGACGAAAAAGGGCCUUUCUAGGUCAACUGACGGUACCAGAUGAAUAAGCACCGGCUAACUCCGUGCCAGCAGCCGCGGUAAUACGGAGGGUGCAAGCGUUAUCCGGAUUCACUGGGUUUAAAGGGUGCGUAGGCGGGUAGGUAAGUCAGUGGUGAAAUCCUGGAGCUCAACUCCAGAACUGCCAUUGAUACUAUUUAUCUUGAAUAUUGUGGAGGUAAGCGGAAUAUGUCAUGUAGCGGUGAAAUGCUUAGAUAUGACAUAGAACACCUAUUGCGAAGGCAGCUUACUACGCAUAUAUUGACGCUGAGGCACGAAAGCGUGGGGAUCAAACAGGAUUAGAUACCCUGGUAGUCCACGCCCUAAACUAUGAUUACUCGACAUUUGUGAUACACAAUAAGUGUNUGAGAGAAGACAUAAGUAAUACACUACGAGUACGUCGCGAGAGAGAACGUAAGUAAAGUAAGUAGACGNGAGAGAGACGACGACGACGACGACGGAGGAGGAG
rnacentral:rRNA from 1 species